CUAGUUUCCACCUCUCCCAUACGUGUAGUGUCCAGCGGUGGAGGUGGAGGAUGCGCUCAGUGGACAUCUUCUAUAUAAGAUCUUUCUCCUGACUGACCCGUCAAGGAUGGAUAGGGACAGGAACAAGAUGGCGGACAGUAUAAUAAAUCUCACUGUAGAGAUCCUCUUCUGGCUUACUGGAGAGGACUACACAGUAGUUAAGAAGACCUCUAGUGAGCGCUGCCAGGACCCUGUGUCUGAAGGAUGGGGAAGAACACUAAGCCCAAUCAUGGGACCUCCACC